rnacentral:rRNA from 1 species
UGGGUAAUCUUUUGAAACUUCAUCGUGCUGGGGAUAGAGCAUUGCAACUAUUGCUCUUGAACGAGGAAUCCCUAGUAAGUACAAGUCACUAGCUUGUGCUGAUUACGUCCCUGCCCUUUGUACACACCGCCCGUCGCUACUACCGAUUGAAUGGCUUAGUGAGGCCUUCGGAUUGAAAUUCGGAGAC